rnacentral:rRNA from 1 species
CCUACGGGGGGCUGCAGUGGGGAAUAUUGCACAAUGGGCGCAAGCCUGAUGCAGCCAUGCCGCGUGUGUGAAGAAGGCCUUCGGGUUGUAAAGCACUUUCAGCGGGGAGGAAGGCGUUAAGGUUAAUAACCUUGGCGAUUGACGUUACCCGCGGAAGAAGCACCGGCUAACUCCGUGCCAGCAGCCGCGGUAAUACGGAGGGUGCAAGCGUUAAUCGGAAUUACUGGGCGUAAAGCGCACGCAGGCGGUCUGUCAAGUCGGAUGUGAAAUCCCCGGGCUCAACCUGGGAACUGCAUUCGAAACUGGCAGGCUAGAGUCUUGUAGAGGGGGGUAGAAUUCCAGGUGUAGCGGUGAAAUGCGUAGAGAUCUGGAAGAAUACCGGUGGCGAAGGCGGCCCCCUGGACAAAGACUGACGCUCAGGUGCGAAAGCGUGGGGAGCAAACAGGAUUAGAUACCCCUGUAGUC